rnacentral:tRNA from 1 species
AAGAAUUUAGUGUAUUUAAGCACAUAUUUUUGUCAAAAAUAUAGGACUAGUUCUUG